GGCUACGUAGCUCAGCUGGUUAGAGCACAGCAUUCAUAAUGCUGGGGUCGGCAGUUCAAGUCUGCCCGUAGCUACCA
rnacentral:tRNA from 1 species